UGGGGAAUUUUGGACAAUGGGGGAAACCCUGAUCCAGCCAUCCCGCGUGUGCGAUGAAGGCCUUCGGGUUGUAAAGCACUUUUGGCAGGAAAGAAACGUCGCGGGUUAAUACCCCGCGAAACUGACGGUACCUGCAGAAUAAGCACCGGCUAACUACGUGCCAGCAGCCGCGGUAAUACGUAGGGUGCAAGCGUUAAUCGGAAUUACUGGGCGUAAAGCGUGCGCAGGCGGUUCGGAAAGAAAGAUGUGAAAUCCCAGAGCUUAACUUUGGAACUGCAUUUUUAACUACCGGGCUAGAGUGUGUCAGAGGGAGGUGGAAUUCCGCGUGUAGCAGUGAAAUGCGUAGAUAUGCGGAGGAACACCGAUGGCGAAGGCAGCCUCCUGGGAUAACACUGACGCUCAUGCACGAAAGCGUGGGGAGCAAACAGGAUUCAGAUACCCUGGUAGUCCACGCCCUAAACGAUGUCAACGUCA
rnacentral:rRNA from 1 species